rnacentral:rRNA from 1 species
UACGUGAGGGGCGAAACGUUGUUCGGUGUCACUGGGCUUAAAGGGCGCGUAGGUGGCUGCGUAAGUAAGGUGUGAAAGCCCUCGGCUUACCCGGGGAAUUGGCGCCUUAUACUGCGUGGCUUGAGGAUUUCAGGGGAAAGGGGAACUCCGAGUGUGAGCGGUGAAAUGCGCAGAUAUCGGGGGAAGGCCGGCGGCGAAGGCGCCUUUCUGGGAAAUUCCGUGACACUGAGGCGCGAAGCGU